rnacentral:lncRNA from 1 species
GAGGUCCAAGGGAUCCCUGACCUCACAACCCACAGCGACACGGUGGAGGAGGAUGAGGACCUGUAUGACUGCGUGGAGAAUGAGGAGGCGGAAGGCGACGAGAUCUAUGAGGACCUCAUGCGCUCGGAGCCCGUGUCCAUGCCGCCCAAGAUGACAGAGUAUGACAAGCGCUGCUGCUGCCUGCGGGAGAUCCAGCAGACGGAGGAGAAGUACACUGACACGCUGGGCUCCAUCCAGCAGCAUUUCUUGAAGCCCCUGCAACGGUUCCUGAAACCUCAAGACAUUGAGAU